rnacentral:rRNA from 1 species
UACGGGGGGGGCAAGCGUUGUUCGGAAUUACUGGGCGUAAAGGGCUCGUAGGUGGCCAACUAAGUCAGACGUGAAAUCCCUCGGCUUAACCGGGGAACUGCGUCUGAUACUGGAUGGCUUGAGUUUGGGAGAGGGACGCGGAAUUCCAGGUGUAGCGGUGAAAUGCGUAGAUAUCUGGAGGAACACCGGUGGCGAAGGCGGAUCUCUGGGCCGUAACUGACGCUGAGGAGCGAAAGCAUGGGGAGCGAACAGG